GAUGAACGCUGGCGGCGUGCCUAAUACAUGCAAGUCGAGCGAACAGACGAGGAGCUUGCUCCUCUGACGUUAGCGGCGGACGGGUGAGUAACACGUGGAUAACCUACCUAUAAGACUGGGAUAACUUCGGGAAACCGGAGCUAAUACCGGAUAACAUGUUGAACCGCAUGGUUCAACAGUGAAAGACGGUCUUGCUGUCACUUAUAGAUGGAUCCGCGCCGCAUUAGCUAGUUGGUAAGGUAACGGCUUACCAAGGCAACGAUGCGUAGCCGACCUGAGAGGGUGAUCGGCCACACUGGAACUGAGACACGGUCCAGACUCCUACGGGGGGCAGCAGUAGGGAAUCUUCCGCAAAGGGCGAAAGCCUGACGGAGCAACGCCGCGUGAGUGAAGAAGGUCUUCGGAUCGUAAAACUCUGUUAUUAGGGAAGAACAAAUGUGUAAGUAACUAUGCACGUCUUGACGGUACCUAAUCAGAAAGCCACGGCUAACUACGUG
rnacentral:rRNA from 1 species